rnacentral:rRNA from 1 species
GACAGAGGUGCCAAGCGUUAGGCGGAAUCACUGGGCUUAAAGCGUGUGUAGGCGGAUCGUUAAGUACCUUGUGAAAUCCCACGGCUCAACCGUGGAACUGCUGGGUAUACUGGCGAUCUUGAGCCACCUAGGGGCGAGCGGAACAAGCGGUGGAGCGGUGAAAUGCGUAGAUAUCGCUUGGAACGCCAAUGGUGAAAACAGCUCGCUGGGGGUGUGCUGACGCUGAGACACGAAAGCGUGGGGAGCAAACAGG